rnacentral:rRNA from 1 species
UACGUAGGUGGCAAGCGUUGUCCGGAUUUACUGGGCGUAAAGAGCGCGCAGGCGGUCGUUUAAGUCGAAUGUGAAAGCCCCCGGCUCAACUGGGGAGGGUCAUUCGAUACUGAUCGACUUGAAGGCAGGAGAGAGAAGUGGAACUCCCGGUGUAGUGGUGAAAUGCGUAGAUAUCAGGAGGAACACCGGUGGUGUAGACGGCUUUCUGGACCGUAACUGACGCUGAGACACGAAAGCGUGGGUAGCAAACAGG